UACGAGGGGUGCAAGCGUUGUUCGGAAUCACUGGGCGUAAAGCGUGUCUAGGCGGUUUGGAAAGUCGGAUGUGAAAGCCUCUAGCUCAACUAGAGAACUGCAUCCGAUACUAACAGACUUGAAUCGUGGAGAGAUGGGCGGAAUUCCGAGUGUAGCAGUGAAAUGCGUAGAGAUUCGGAGGAACACCAGAGGCGAAGGCGGCUCAUUGGCCACGAAUUGACGCUGAAGCACGAAAGCGUGGGUAGCAAACAGU
rnacentral:rRNA from 1 species